rnacentral:rRNA from 1 species
GACGUAGGGUGCAAGCGUUGUCCGGAUUUACUGGGCGUAAAGAGCGCGUAGGCGGUUCAUUAAGUGUGAAGCUAAAUCUCUUGGCUCAACCAAGAAACUAUUUCGCAUACUGAUGGGCUGGAGUGAUGCAGAGGUGGAUAGAAUUCCCGGUGUGGCGGUGAAAUGCGUUGAUAUCGGGAGGAAUACCCGUGGCGAAGGCGGUCCACUGGGCAUCAACUGACGCUGAGGCGCGAAAGCGUGGGUAGCAAACAGG